rnacentral:rRNA from 1 species
UCCACGCCCUAAACGAUGCACACUAGUUGUUGCGAUGCUCGUCAUUGCAGUAAUACAGUUAACACAUUAAGUGUGCCGCCUGGGGAGUACGGUCGCAAGAUUAAAACCUCAAAGGAAUAGACGGGGACCCGCACAAGUGGUGGAGCAUGUGGUUUAAUUCGAAGAUACGCGAAGAACCUUACCUAGCCUUGACAUUGAUAGAACCACAGUAGAGAUACAGUGGUGCCC